rnacentral:rRNA from 1 species
AGUUGCGAUCAUACAAGCACUAAUGCACCGGAUCCCAUCAGAACUCCGUAGUUAAGCGUGCUUGGGCGAGAGUAGUACUAGGAUGGGUGACCCCCUGGGAAGUCCUCGUGUUGCAACCCCCG